rnacentral:rRNA from 1 species
CCCGGGCCUUGUACACACCGCCCGUCAAGUCAUGAAAGUCGGUAACACCCGAAGCCAGUGGCCAACCGUAAGGAGGGAGCUGUCGAAGGUGGGAUCGGUGAUUAGGACU